AACGAUAACAAAUAAAUGAUUUAAAAUUUAUCGUCGUAACUGCUGAAAACGAAGAAAAGAAAUAACGAAGAUGGAAUAUAUCCAAUAUCGGUGCUUCUGCAGUAUAGAUGAAAAGCCGAAUUUUGAUUUUUUUCUUUACCAAUUGGAGCAAACUAGGAAAAAAAGAUGGAUGGAGAAAAUGUUGAUUUCAACGAGUCAUUUUUAGAAAUAAUUGAAGCAAAUGUUUUCCCCGGAUUCUUUGUGAUUUUCGCCCGCUGGAAAGCGUUGAGCUGCUUCGAGGAUUGAAGUGUAUGUUGAAGUUGCAGCUGUUCUAGCGAGAUCGUGAUCAUGUCUGGUACUCAGUGGCGAGGCUUUACGCAAUGUCUAGACUGUGAACAAUGCUGCUGUUGUGCGUUAUGCCGAGUCUGUGCACUUCUCAAAUGUUUUUUGAACGAAAACAGAUUGCUUUGUACAUGGAGAGAACAACAGUAUUAUAGAGUACACUAUAUGAAACAUGUUUGUCUGUUAUUGACAUAUGGAAUACAAAUAUGCGCAAAGGCAAUAUAAUGUUAUUUAGGAAUCUAAGAAUUAGUGAAUCGAAA